rnacentral:tRNA from 1 species
GGGGAUUUAGCUCAGUGGCAUAAGCACCUGCCUUGCAAGCAGGUGGUUGUGAGUUCUCU